rnacentral:rRNA from 1 species
UCGAACGGUAACAGGAAGCAGCUUGCUGCUUCGCUGACGAGUGGCGGACGGGUGAGUAAUGUCUGGGAAACUGCCUGAUGGAGGGGGAUAACUACUGGAAACGGUAGCUAAUACCGCAUAACGUCGCAAGACCAAAGAGGGGGACCUUCGGGCCUCUUGCCAUCGGAUGUGCCCAGAUGGGAUUAGCUAGUAGGUGGGGUAACGGCUCACCUAGGCGACGAUCCCUAGCUGGUCUGAGAGGAUGACCAGCCACACUGAAACUGAGACACGGUCCAGACUCCUACGGGAGGCAGCAGUGGGGAAUAUUGCACAAUGGGCGCAAGCCUGAUGCAGCCAUGCCGCGUGUAUGAAGAAGGCCUUCGGGUUGUAAGGUACUUUCAGCGGGGAGGAAGGCGACAGGGUUAAUAACCCUGUCGAUUGACGUUACCCGCAGAAGAAGCACCGGCUAACUCCGUGCCAGCAGCCGCGGUAAUACGGAGGGUGCAAGCGUUAAUCGGAAUUACUGGGCGUAAAGCGCACGCAGGCGGUCUGUCAAGUCGGAUGUGAAAUCCCCGGGCUCAACCUGGGAACUGCAUUCGAAACUGGCAGGCUAGAGUCUUGUAGAGGGGGGUAGAAUUCCAGGUGUAGCGGUGAAAUGCGUAGAGAUCUGGAGGAAUACCGGUGGCGAAGGCGGCCCCCUGGACAAAGACUGACGCUCAGGUGCGAAAGCGUGGG